UUACAUAGGCCUGACAGUACAAAUUUGAAAAACAGAAUAUCACUUUUCUUCAUUACGUAGUACGCUAAAUGGUAUACAAUCAAGGCCCUCUAUUGAAACAUAAUAACAAUUAAAGAAAUUAGCCCUAUUCUAAGUGUCCUUCCCCUGCUUAAAUCGACUACGAAACGACAACAUUAUCACCGAUAUAGUUCUCACUCCUUUCUUCUUUAAACAAAACCUCCAAAAAAACGACAGUUAGUGUUUACUUUAUAUGGUGAAUGCCUAUAUCCAUAAAACUUUUAAUUCAACCAAAAUUAUUAUUGAACAUCCUGUGAUAAUGUCUUACUAUUAUGAUUUGAAAACAAAUUUUGCUAACUUAAUAGUGUAUUUGUUAUGUUAUAAGUGAAUGUGUAAUAGUAUAGUUUUAAUAUUCAAUUCCAAAUAUUGGAUUCAGGUUAAUAAGAAAAUGUGAUACAGCUCAACAAUCCAACUAAACAGAGUUUUUAGGUUUUUCUUAAGGCCACUUUCAUUACAGCCGCUCUCAAUUAUCAAGGAAUACAUAAUAUAUAGGUACAUUACUAAAAUAUCUGAACUUUAUAUUGAAAUUUCUGGAAUCUUUUGUCAUCAUAAGUAACAUUUUACUGCCACUACAACACUUUUACUUUGGUGUGCGUUUCAGUAACGAAGUUAUCUACUGAAGGCAAACUAGUCGUUUACCUAACAACUGUUGCAAAACCUAUGCACCGCAUAUUGUUUAAGUUUGGAAUGUAAACAAAUCACAAAAAGAUUAGAAUGAAUAAAGAAGUGACUACAACAAUCUCAUAUCAAAGAAUGUUUUAUCUGUGAAAUCGAAACAGAUCAUGGAGAAAGGAUCUUAAGAAAAUGAUGACAGUUUAUACAGUUGUUUAAGACUUCAUUUUUGGAGGCCAGUUUGUUGUAGCGGGAUAUAUUUUGGUCUUGACAAUGGAUAACAAGGAACGGACAGUUGCAGGCCAUAAUAAUACAUAAAUAAAUGUAAACUACAAUUUUGGAGGUUUUACUUGAGGCAAUCGAAGUGGAGUACCAUUUUGACAGUGAAAUCUAAUUAGAAGUCUAUUCAUCAAAGAAAAAUAGUGAACCAAAACGAUGAUCAGUGCAUGAUCAUCACGUGAAGAUCCCGGGCGAAACGGGGAGCUGCAUCGUUAUUGGUCCAAAUACGCGGCAACAUUAUAUACCACAAAUGAAAAGACCCGUGGGAAGGGCCAGUGCUGCAUUGUUGCAAAAGCCGCUAGAUUAGGUGUAGUACAGGGACGGCAGUAUAAUACUGCCGUGAGAUUAUUUCUAUUUAUCUGCUUAAUUUUCUUGAACAUGUCUGAUAUGGAUGCAUCUGAUGAAGUUGUCAACAUUAGCUAGACUCUGCCUAAGAAAAGAACUAAAAAGCUUCAUUUUAACGCUAUCGAAUAACAAAUGAUUGUGAAUUGUUAAUUAAAUGCAAGAAAAUGAUGACAAGACGGUUAAUGAGGUUAUUCAUAAAACGGCAAAUAUUUUGGGAGUAUUUUCUUCAAGUUUCUACCAAAUCGUUCGUAAGUACAGAGCUAAUCAUUCAGUUGCCGAACCAAAAAAGUAUCCAUCAAGAAAAAAAAUUAACAAUUCAAUUGAGAAUUGUGCAUAAUUUUUUCUUUCAAAAUGAGAUAUCUACAUAAAUGAAAUUUGGAGAGUAGUUAACGAAGACAAGGACUUCCUGGAUUUUAAAAGAUCAACAUUUUAUAAUUUAUUGAAAGAAAUGGGAUUUCACUUCAAAAAAUAAGGAAGGAACAGUUUAUUAUUAGGAAAAGCAGAAGUAGUUGUGCAGAGGCGAGAAUACCUUAGAAAAAUCAUGAAAUUUCGUGAAGAAAAUAGAAAAAUUCACUAGCUGGAUAAAACAUUGGUAAACGCUGGAUAAGGUUUGGGUGGACUGUUCUAUACAAUCCUCAAGGCAAGCAUUCUUGGAUGGAGUUUCCACCAGAUUAAUAAACCAAUCAGAUAGGAAAAGGACAGAGACUAAUUACUUGUUACAUUGGUACUGAAGAUGGUUUUCUGCCAGAUGCUUUAUGGGUAUUUGAAUAGAAAAAAACCGGAGACUAUCACGAGGAAAUGGAAACAUUUCCUACAGCUUACUGGCCACCAGUAUUGUCUAGAUCGAAUAAAUGGGAUAAUAAUAAGAAAAGAUAUUUGCAAAUAAGAGGGUUAAUGCUGCAUGCUGUAAUUCUGGAAUAGAAAGAAAUCAGGAUGACACAAGAAUAAAGAAGUACAGAAUAGACGACAAUGGUUUCCUAUUGAGGGAUAAUCUAUCUGUAAUAUCGAAAGUAGACUUGCAUACAUGAAAAGUAUGAGGAAAAAAUUUUAACAACUAAUUUAUACUUCAGUUUUAUUUAUUGUAACUGAAAGGAAAUCGAGGGAAGUUAACGAGGUUUACAAGGAAAAGAAUGUUUUAGGAAUGGCUGAGAACAUUGAACAAGUAUGGAAUAUAAAUAAAUUGUAAUACGACGAAACUAAAAAAAUAUAGAAGCAAGGAUGUCUAAUGACCAGUUGAUUUAAUUAUGAAAGAAAGAUGCGAGUGAAGUUUCUGGAUAGUGCAGAUAGACUAAAAGAAAAAUAAGUUAAGCUUUCAUGUGAAAACCUUCAUAUAGAUUUUUCAGUAUCAUGAAUUAUACAUUAAUUCGUAUGGCUCACAGGUCAUUUUCCAUAAAUAAAAGUUUGGUGGUUUCGUUGUGAAAAUGGAAACAAGUUGGCUUAUAAAGAAUGGGAAAUAACCACCUUCAUAAGGGUUAUAAAAUUAUAAGAUUUGUUGGAAGAAAUCGUAACCAAUAAAUGUCAAAAUUUUCAAGGUGCAAUAAUAAACAGCAUAGAAUUACAAUGGAGGCAUAUAAAAGAUCAGUGAUUAUGGAACAUUUGACGACAGGAACUUCUAUAUUUGAAAAAAAUGUUAGAAUAGUUAAGUUAGGUUAGUUUGUGCAGUUGUUAAUAUAUGAUUUAUUUUAAAUAUAUACUUAAGUAUUCGAUAGCUCGGGAAUAUAUUAGAGAGGGUACACUUGGUGUUUAAUUUUGUUACAUUUCUACUAAGUAAGUUCUUUUUUGCGUUUAAGUCGAUCGGAACAAUAUUAAAAUGGUUAAUUAGACAUUUUAAUAAUAGGGAUAAAAGUAAAUAUUUUUUUUAGUUCCUCCUUUUCAUCAAAAAUAUUUUGGUUUAAUGAGUGGUAUCACUUACUUAUUUCACAAUAUAUUUUAUUUUUAUCCAAGUAUGCUACCACUGGUUGAAUACUAUAGAAAAUAAACCAAAAUCUUUAGACUGAUGAUAAUAAAAUUUAUAUGAUUUGUGGAGAAUAUUAUUAUGAAGGUUGUAUUUUGCUUCACACUACCUACCAGGUA